rnacentral:lncRNA from 10 species
AUAUAACACAAACACUCAGUCAUGAGCCUGUGCUUACCAUUGUCUUGGCACACAGUUGGUAUUCAAUUAAUAAUUGUGGGAUGAAUAAAUGAAUGAAUCAGAGCCACAGCAGGUCAACAAGGAGACAGAAGCGUUGGUGAACUAGCAGCAUUUAGGAUCUCUACAUACAGUGUGAAAAAAAUAAGAGAAGAAAUGGAAGCCUAGAGGCAAGAUGACAGAAGAAACUGUAGUGUUAAUCCAGAUAAGACAUUGAAGAGCUAAACCAGGAUUUUGGUAAGACAGAUGGAGAGAUGUGAAUGGAUCUGAAUGCUACCAAGAAGGUCAAAUUCAACGGUGCUUACAGGCAUACCUUGGAAACAUUGCAGAUUUAGUUCUAGAACACCACAGUAAAGCAAAUAUUGCAAGAAAAUGAAUCACAUGAAUUUUGGGUUUCCCAGCGCACAUAAAAGUUAUGUUUACACUAUACUAUAGUCUAAGUGUGUAAUAGCAUUAUGUAUUUUAAAAGUACAUGCCUUAAUUAAAAAAUAUUUUAUUGCUAAAAAUGCUAUCAUCUGAGCCUUCAAUUAGUUAUAAUCAUUUUGCUGAUGGAGGGUCUUGCCUCAAUGUUGAUGGUUGCUGACUGAUCAGGGUAGUGUUUGUUGAUGGUUGGGGUGGCUGUGGCAAUUUCUUAAAAUAAGACAACAAUAAAGUUUGCCACAUCAAUCAAUUUUUCCUUUCAUAAAUAAUUUGUCUGUAGGAUGCAAUGCUGUUUGGUAGCAUUUUACACACAGUAGAAUUUCUUUAAAAUUGGAGUCAAUCUUCUCAAGCCCUGCCAUUUCCACAGCAGCUACAAUUACUUCCUCCACAGAAGUCUUGAACCCCUCCAAGUCAUCCAAGAGGGUUGGAAUCAACUAUUUCCAAAGUCCUGUUAAUGAUGAUAUCUUGACCUCCUUCCAUGAAUUAAUUACAAUUGUUCUUAAUAUCAUCUAGUUUGGUGAAUCCUUUCCAGAAGGUUUUUAAUUUAUCUUGUCAAGAUCCAUCAGAGGAAUCACUAUCUAUGGCAGUUAGAGUCUUCUGAAAUGUAUUUCUUAAAUAAUAAGACUUGAAAGUAAAAAUUACUCCUUUAUCCAGGGGAUGCAGAAUGAAUGUUGGGUUAGUGGUCAUGAAAGUAACAUUAAUCUCCCUGUACAUCUCUAUCAGAGCUCUUGCAUUGCUAGGCGCAUUGUCAAUGAGCAGUAACAUUUUGAAAGAAAUUUUUUUUUC